rnacentral:rRNA from 1 species
GAUGAACGCUGGCGGCGUGCCUAAUACAUGCAAGUCGAGCGAACGGACGAGAAGCUUGCUUCUCUGAUGUUAGCGGCGGACGGGUGAGUAACACGUGGAUAACCUACCUAUAAGACUGGGAUAACUUCGGGAAACCGGAGCUAAUACCGGAUAAUAUUUUGAACCGCAUGGUUCAAAAGUAAAAGACGGUCUUGCUGUCACUUAUAGAUGGAUCCGCGCUGCAUUAGCUAGUUGGUAAGGUAACGGCUUACCAAGGCAACGAUGCAUAGCCGACCUGAGAGGGUGAUCGGCCACACGGGAACUGAGACACGGUCCAGACUCCUACGGGAGGCAGCAGUAGGGAAUCUUCCGCAAUGGGCGAAAGCCUGACGGAGCAACGCCGCGUGAGUGAUGAAGGUCUUCGGAUCGUAAAACUCUGUUAUUAGGGAAGAACAUAUGUGUAAGUAACUGUGCACAUCUUGACGGUACCUAAUCAGAAAGCCGCGGCUAACUACGUG